rnacentral:lncRNA from 1 species
UGAGGGGGGCCUACAGGGGCCAGUUGUGGAUCAUGGGUAUGGGGGGGCCAUGGAGAAGGAGGGGGCCAGAGAGAGGCCAGGUGGCACUGGGGUGACUGGGACGUGGGGGCCCUGCUGGGGUUGUCCUCAAGGGUCCCAGCUGGAGACCUGGGACCGGACAGGUCCCCUGCAGGCAUAGCUUAAUCUGGGAGCGGAUCAAGUUCAACUGGUGCAGAAGACCAAGUAGUUACGAGUAUAUCGAACUGAGACUUUUAAAUUUACUCGUCUCUCUUAUUGUAUUUUUUUUCGCUUGUGCAGGGGAUAGUUGCGAGCAAGUUUUUCGUAACUUCUCCUUAAUGGAGUUGUGGUCCCUACCACAGCCUCUGCUCUAGCCCAGCUGCCCCGCGCCGCCGGGCCAGGAUCUGGCUGGCUUCACCUUGUCGCCAAAAGCCCCUGGUUAGGUGUAGUUCUGCUGGCGAAAUGGCAUCAUUUACCGUAGCUUAUCCCCAAGGUGGGGGAUGUUUUGGAGUCAGCUGUACGAACAAAAGCAUAGCUUUACUUGUGUUAGCAUGUCCCGGAAUAAAAGUGUCUUUAGCAUGAUGUUAGAGUUUUUAACAGUGACUUUCCUGAGAGAGACCUGGCUGAUGGCGUUGCGUCCCCUUCAAAGGGUUUGCUGUGCAGCUGUGCCGGUGGCAUUAUGCAGGCAACUCCCAGGUGAUGCUGUUUUUGCUAGCAAAGACUCUUAAAAUGAGCAAGAACAGUGCUGAGAGUAAGGGUUUUGCUGCUGUGACCGUGAAGGGGAAGUGUUUUAGAUGCUUUUUUUUUCUUUUCCUUUUCACCUCUUUCCACUGUCUUUUUCUAGCUACUAUUGCUAAUAAAUGUUUCUAUUGUAGGUAAGGGCACAGUCCUGCAACAAAAAUGAUGUUUAAACUCCUAAGUCUCUUAAGUACUUGGGGGAGAUGGGGAAUUCUCCACUUUAUUCUAAUCAUGAAAAGGAGGAGAAAGGUGCUGUGGCUGAAUUCUUGCCAGAUUGGUGUCGUGGAACCAAAUCAUGGUGCUCCAGGUUUCCACCAAAAAGUCGAGUCCAGACUGUGGCAUGCUGCGUACGGAGCUGUUUCGCUGCCAUCUGGCACACCAGUCGGGAUUUGAGUCAAAGAAAAGGCAAAGACUGUGACACUGCCACGCACCCAGAUGUGCCAAAGGUCUUGCAAAGCUGGAUUUAGGGCAGUGCCCUGAUUUAAAAACCCUGUUGUGAACGCUCCUGGUGUUUGCCGUAGCCCUCGCGGGGACAGCAAUGUUGUGUUUCCAGUGUGUGUUGGCAUAGAUCUCCUUAACGUGCACUGCCGGGUUUGUCAGCAGGCCUGCCGGGGAGCUGCCCUCUGCUACUUGCCGCCGUGGCCGGCGAAGGAGGUGUAGGAACUCCGUAGCCGUCCAGCCCCAGGUACAGGGUGGAUUUGAGUGAAUCAGGGCUUUGGCUGUAUGCCCAAGCUUUGGUUGCUAGGAAGUCGGGAACAGAAUAUAAGCUAGAGCAGUCCAAAGGUUGUUUUAGUUUGAAGCAGAACAAGGUUUAUCACUGUACUGAAAGCGAAUUUAAUUUUUCUUGGUCUUAACUGCAGGCCUGUUUUGAAGUCUUUUCUGUUUGUUUGUUUUUGUUUUCUGGCAGUAUGGCAGGAGGUCUUAUGAUGUGGUUAGUCUUGGGGUGAUCUCUAGCCCCACAUCAGUGGGCUCGUUCCUUGUCUUUGCUGCCUGGAGGCAUGCAACGUGUUGGGUUACUGCCAUAUCUCCUCGUGGAGGGGAAGGGCAAGCCUCGUGGGUAUCUGCUUUCAGGGAGAAACAAUACUGCUUUUGUUUCAAAAGCAUGCUAUUAACAUGGAGAGAAGAUACAGUUAUCAGGGGAAUUAGCCCCACCAUGGGAAAGGGUGGCCUUGUGGCCAGCUUGUGCUCUGGUUCAUCCUCUCUUAAGAAGCUCAUAGCUGCAGGAUCUGCUGUGAUCUUGAACCUGCAGACAGGCUGCUAAAAUAGUGCAUGCUGCUGUAGUUGUUAUAUCGGCCAAAGACAAACUUCACGCUCCAACUCAGUGCUACUUCCCCCGCCUCCCCCUCGGGUAGGUGGAGAUCGCAAAGUAAGAGUAGAUGAAACUGCUGUUUAUUUAAAAUCCCGCCUGCACAGAAAGGACAAUGCUGUGGAGGCAGAAAGAAAUGUGUAGUUCACAGCGUAGACUUGAUAAAUGUCACGCUGCUCCUUGCCAACCCUUCUUGGAGGGACAAAGCCAGGCUGAAGGAAAGGUAUUCCUGAAUGAGCCAGCUUCAAAAUAUGGCCCUCCAGACCUUGAAAAAAGAACUGCUCUUAACAUGCCAUCAGCCACCCACUGACUGCAGUUUAUCCUAGAAAUACUUGUCUGCACAGUUAACCUGUCUCCUAGAGUCAUGACCCAGCUUGUCAGCUUAACGCAGCAUCUGCAAAGCCUGCAGCGAAUUAGCUCUGCCUUCACAUGCAGCUGUGAUCCAGUCAUAUACGCGUAAGUGGAAUCUGUGGAAAUUUUCCAGAAUAUUUGUAAUUCUGACAUUGCAGUGGACACAAAUGUCACGUAAGAGGAGGAAAAACCUAGGUCCUAAAUCAGUAAUGCUUGGGGGGUCUAGUAGCUGUUCCUGUUGCACUACAAUAAUUUCUAGGUUUUUAAGCAAUGAUUUUUCCAUUACCUAAUCUAGUAUCUGACCCCUUUGAGGAAGGGAAAGUUAAAAGCGUGACCUUUUUAAAAAGUUACUUUCUCGUGUGGCUCUUUAACCUUCUGUGGUUACUGUUUGGACUGCCCGGAAGACCAGAUGGGGACAGUCUAAGCUGGAACUUCAGUCCUCUCUCAUGCUGAACUUUAAAGGUAGUUCAGCCUUCCCUCUCCCCUUCCAGAAAUGUUUAUCUGAGCCCCGCUGAUGUUUGUUCCUUUACCUGCCUUCCACAAGUGUCUUUGACAUGAGCUCCCGUCAUGCAGCACGUUUAACAUCCCUCCAGCUGUUGCUGCCUUGAUUGCUAUCUGCGUGGUCCAGAUCUAGAUCUGGAGCUUGGAGUUGAGCGACUGAUGCCUGACUGAUGUCCUUAAACUGUCUGUUCCUCCACCCGGCUUGUGGUGGUUGAAAAACACCUCUUGCUCCUUGGUGACUUGGGCUUUCCAGGAACUGCUGCAGCACUUAGCUCUAGGAUGAACAGAGCAUUAGGGCAGGCAGUUGUCUGGUGCAGCUGCGUUGAAGCUGCUGCUCCUUGCACAAGCGGUUGUGAAGCUCUUCAGUUGUGCGUCCAUUGCUAAAACGCCUCCUAACCCAACUAUGGCUUUAUUUAGCAGGCCUUUUUCCAUUGUUAUAUAACCUAAUUGGACUUUAAAAUUGACCUGAAUACAUAGCAAACUUAAAUGUGUGGCCUUUCAGGGGGGAGGGGGAGAUGGCAAUUCAAGGCCAAUAUAACUAUUUUAUGCCUUUUUAUUGUGCUGUUUCCUUUUCUUAUGUGCGUGCCCUCAGAUAGGCUCUGCGUUUGCAUGGCUUCAAGACAAGUAAACAGACUCUCUCGCUCCUAAGCGAGCCUGUUUCCUGAAAGCGCCUGGGAGAUGUGGUGUUUGCAUGGUUUCUUUCUUGGGACUUUCCAAAUUGUUGCGCCGCAAAUUUAAAUUGCGGGGAGGGGGUGGACGACGACCAGCAGGACUUUCUUAAAACUGACUUUGUGAGGGCAUAUAAAGGGCCUUUUGUCUAACCCUUGGGAAUUUAACAUUUGAAACAUAUAUUUCUAAAUGGCUCUGUUAAGUUUGUUGUUAAGGCCACUACCAAACCAGUUUCCAAAAGAAAAAUUUGGAUGUUGUCCUGCGGAGCAACAGAAUUAACUUGUUACUUUGGUGUAACCCUCUCAGAGAGGUUAUAGAUGUAACUCGGCCAAAUCUGAUCGCUCUCUUUGACUUAAUGUUCUUUCCCUUCAGAGCAGCUACUGACUUCUGUUGCCAGUAGCGAACGCGGAGGAAAGCGAGAAGAAAAACGAAAUGUUCAGGGUAACACAAGGCUAUUGGGCAGCUUCUCCUUAGCUCUCUUUGUGCAGUAGCAUUUUAAAGGAAACGUGCUGUUCUUGUCUGGCAACGUGGGAAGCUCUGUUCAGUUCUCAGCAUGCUGAAAUGCAGCUUCUGUGUUGGUUUUUCCAAAUAAAAAUGUGAGUCCCUUCA